AACGAACGCUGGCGGCAGGCCUACACAUGCAAGUCGAGCGAAGCCUUCGGGCUUAGCGGCGGACGGGUGAGUAACGCGUGGGAACGUGCCCGUUGGUACGGAAUAGCCCCGGGAAACCGGGAGUAAUACCGUAUGUGCCCUUCGGGGGAAAGAUUUAUCGCCAAAGGAUCGGCCCGCGUUGGAUUAGGUAGUUGGUGGGGUAAUGGCCUAUCAAGCCGACGAUCCAUAGCUGGUUUGAGAGGAUGAUCAGCCACACUGGGACUGAGACACGGCCCAGACUCCUACGGGAGGCAGCAGUGGGGAAUCUUAGACAAUGGGGGAAACCCUGAUCUAGCCAUGCCGCGUGAUCGAUGAAGGCCUUAGGGUUGUAAAGAUCUUUCAGUGGGGAAGAUAAUGACUGUACCCACAGAAGAAGCCCCGGCUAACUCCGUGCCAGCCGCCGCUGUAACAC
rnacentral:rRNA from 1 species